rnacentral:rRNA from 1 species
CUACGGGCUGCAGCAGUUAGGGAUAUUCGGCAAUGGGGGAAACCCUGACCGAGCAAUGCCGCGUGAAUGAAGAAGUGUUUCGAUAUGUAAAGUUCUGUUGUUAAGGAAGAAAGGUACGAAUAGGAAAUGAUUCGUAAUUGACGGUACUUAACCAGAAAGCCCCUGCUAACUACGUGCCAGCAGCAGCGGUAAUACGUAGGGGGCGAGCGUUAUCCGGAAUUAUUGGGCGUAAAGGGUGCGUAGGAGGCCUGUCAAGUCCGAGUUGAAAGCCCACGGCUUAACCGUGGAGGGGGCUCGGAAACUGAUAGGCUUGAAUCCAGAAGAGGCAAGUGGAAUUCUAUGUGGAGCGGUGGAAUGCGUAGAUAUAUGGAGGAACACCAGUGGCGAAGGCGGCUUGCUGGGCUGGUAUUGACGCUGAUGCACGAAAGCGUGGGGAGCAAACAGGAUUAGAUACCCCCGUAGUC